GUGGGGAAUCUUCCACAAUGGACGAAAGUCUGAUGGAGCAACGCCGCGUGAGUGAAGAAGGGUUUCGGCUCGUAAAGCUCUGUUGUCGGGGACGAACGUGAGAUACUUGAAUAAAGUGUCUUAAUGACGGUACCUGACGAGGAAGCCACGGCUAACUACGUGCCAGCAGCCGCGGUAAUACGUAGGUGGCAAGCGUUGUCCGGAAUUAUUGGGCGUAAAGGGAGCGCAGGCGGGAAGGUAAGUCGGUCUUAAAAGUGCGGGGCUCAACCCCGUGAUGGGAUCGAAACUAUCUUUCUUGAGUGCAGGAGAGGAAAGUGGAAUUCCUAGUGUAGCGGUGAAAUGCGUAGAUAUUAGGAGGAACACCAGUGGCGAAGGCGACUUUCUGGACUGUAACUGACGCUGAGGCUCGAAAGCCAGGGGAGCGAACGGGAUUAGAUACCCUAGUAGUCC
rnacentral:rRNA from 1 species